GAUGAACGCUAGCGAUAGGCUUAACACAUGCAAGUCGAGGGGCAGCACAAGGUAGCUUGCUAUCUGGGUGGCGACCGGCGCACGGGUGCGUAACGCGUAUGCAACUUGCCCUAUACAGGAGGAUAACCCGUCGAAAGACGGACUAAUACUGCGUAUGCUCACAACUUGGCAUCAAGUGGUGAGGAAAGAAAUUCGGUAUAGGAUAGGCAUGCGUCCCAUUAGCUUGUUGGUGAGGUAACGGCUCACCAAGGCAAUGAUGGGUAGGGGAACUGAGAGGUUUAUCCCCCACACUGGUACUGAGACACGGACCAGACUCCUACGGGAGGCAGCAGUGAGGAAUAUUGGUCAAUGGGCGCGAGCCUGAACCAGCCAAGUCGCGUGAAGGAUGACUGUCUUAUGGAUUGUAAACUUCUUUUAUACGGGAAUAACAAGAGUCACGUGUGACUCCCUGCAUGUACCGUAUGAAUAAGCAUCGGCCAACUCCGUG
rnacentral:rRNA from 1 species